rnacentral:lncRNA from 1 species
CAGCAAAAUACUCCUGUGGAUCAGCUGGCUGGACUUUCUUUAAAUGAUGGCGUCGCAUAGAUUAUUGCUGAAUUUUGAGACUUUUCUCAUUCCGCGACUCUGUUUUGAUGGAAAAACUAUUAUUCCUAUUUCGAUUUUGUUGGUUUUAAUACCUGUUUGACUAUUAUUAUGGUUGAAAAAUACCUGGUUCUUUUUAAUUUUAAUGGAUUGCUAAGUAUUGUUCUUUUUUAUUUCUUUUCACCUGUUUAACUAUCAUUAUUUUUGGUUUGAUUUUUUUAUCAAGUUUGCUAUGAUUUUGAAAUUUCGAUUAUUCGAUAUUCUAUAUCUUAAAUUGUCAAUGUAUAUUCUUCUGAAUUUUUUGUCUAAUCUUUAACUUUAAGAUUUAAUCAAAUUAAAGCUUAAUGAAAAUAUAACAUUGAAGAUCAUUUGAGCAUCUCAAGCAUAUAAUUGAGUAGGAGCGAGGUGUCGUUCAGGAUACGUACCUCGUCGGAGACGUGGGAGCGAGAUAGUUUAUAUUCUGAAUGAAACUGUACAGAACUGACUUGAGUAUUAGUUUUAGAGAAUUAACGUUCAAACAACAAACAAACAAUAACGAAAACUGAAAUAUAUUUGCAUAGAUUGAAAGUAAAAGACGAUUAGAAUAAACCUAGAAAUAAAGGAACAACUACGAUAACAUAAUCCUCUUAACAAUAACAAUGAUACGAAACCUGGACAACCAAAACAAUAGAGUAGAAAACGCUGAGUAGACGUUGAGAACAUCGGAAGAGACUCGAAGGACGACCGACGUAACCUAGAAGUCAGAGAUGUAAGAAUGGAGAAAUGCGACUUAAAGAAAACUAACUGUAAUACCUGUAAAGCGAUGUAGCCUGUUCAACGACUUUUUCUUUAUUUAUAUCUUUAGGCAUGUUCAUGCGAUGAGAGCGCAUGAACGCCUAAGACGUCCAGGCAUUGCAUAAACAAGAGAGAAAUUCUGCACUAUCUUCCCUGUAU